rfam:Sordaria macrospora k-hell, WGS project CABT02000000 data, contig: 2.22
GCGCGGGUGGUGUAGUGGUCAACGCGUUCGCUCAGUACAUGGCACCUCGAUCACCUACGGUGUUUGUAGUUAGGGCUGCCACCCCUGAAUGUAAAAGAUCCCGGGUUCGAACCCCGGUCUGCGCA